rnacentral:rRNA from 1 species
GUUAGGAAUAUUCGUCAAUGGGGGAAACCCUGAACGAGCAAUGCCGCGUGAAGGAUGACGGUCCUCUGGAUUGUAAACUUCUGUUGUUAGGGAAGAACGACCUAAGUAGGAAAUGACUUAGGAGUGACGGUACCUUUCAAGAAAGCUCCGGCUAACUACGUGCCAGCAGCCGCGGUAAUACGUAGGGAGCGAGCGUUAUCCGGAUUUAUUGGGUGUAAAGGGUGCGUAGGCGGCUUCUUAAGUUUGUAGUCUAAGCCCGGAGCUUAACUCCGGUUCGCUACAAAAACUGAGUUGCUUGAGUAUGGUAGAGGCAAGUGGAAUUUCUAGUGUAGCGGUUAAAUGCGUAGAUAUUAGAAGGAACACCAGUGGCGAAGGCGACUUGCUGGGCCAUUACUGACGCUGAGGCACGAAAGCGUGGGGAGCAAAUAGG